CACCCAAGAGCAGAAGCAGCGAGGUCCACGAUGGGAAAAAUGAAUCCAGCAGUCCCUCCUAUCUUGUACCCACCUAAGUGCAGGAAAAGACCUCAUACAAAGCAAGAAUGCAUCUGGGCUUGCGGCUCUUUUUAACCAUAUUAAAUCCAAUUCAGAGUUAAUGAUGAGCUCUAGAUGAGACUGGUCUAAGCAUUGCUGAAGAAGAGAAGAACAGAGUUGGAAGGCAGGAGCUAUUUCAAAGCAGGAUUCUUCUUUCUGUAACACCUAAACAUGAAGACUUUACAAAUUUCAUUAGAUCCUGCCAUCAAUGGCUGAGCCUCCCUGAAAUCUUCUUAUCAGUUACUGCCUAGAUGAGAAGGAUAACAGGAAGGAGGAAUGCUUAAGUGGUUUUAAUGACAGUUAAUUUCAUCUAUUUAUCAAAUGACAGGUUGUCUUUUUUCCUCAAAACUUGAUUGUCAUGACAAAAUGCUUUUGGAAGUCAUCUGUGUAAAAUAAAACUGACAAUUUUGGGGCUACAAAGAGCUAUUGUGUCUUUCUAUACAAUGUUGUCAUUAUGGUAAACCGCUGGAAAGUCUUUAUUUUUGAAGUGAUUUAACUUGCAUACUUCAUUCAUUUAUUUGAAUGUCUGUUGAAUGCCAUGUGAAAAGUUUCUUGCCAGAGUUC